CCUACGGUGUGCAGCAGUGGGGAAUAUUGGACAAUGGGCGAAAGCCUGAUCCAGCCAUGCCGCGUGUGUGAAGAAGGCCUUCGGGUUGUAAAGCACUUUCAGUGGGGAAGAAAGCCUUGGGGCUAAUACCCUCGAGGAAGGACAUCACCCACAGAAGAAGCACCGGCUAACUCCGUGCCAGCAGCCGCGGUAAUACGGAGGGUGCGAGCGUUAAUCGGAAUUACUGGGCGUAAAGUGCGCGUAGGCGGUCUGAUAAGCCGGUUGUGAAAGCCCCGGGCUCAACCUGGGAACGGCAUCCGGAACUGUCAGGCUAGAGUGCAGGAGAGGAAGGUAGAAUUCCCGGUGUAGCGGUGAAAUGCGUAGAGAUCGGGAGGAAUACCAGUGGCGAAGGCGGCCUUCUGGACUGACACUGACGCUGAGGUGCGAAAGCGUGGGUAGCAAACAGGAUUAGAUACCCUUGUAGUC
rnacentral:rRNA from 1 species